AAAAAAAUUGCAAUUAACACAAGGGACGUCUCUUGAUUAAGAGAAUCAAGAACCGUGUGUUAGAGGACAGGUGUAAAAAAAAAGUCCAUGUCUUUCGUUUCUUUCUCUUCUCUUCCUCUCUGUCUCUCCCGAUGAUCUCAUCUUUGAUUGAUCGAUCCUUUCUUAUUCACUAGGGAUUGUACGACACCGAAGCAGCGAUUCUUUCUCUGUUUGUACCUUUCCUUCGAUAUAACCGAACGAUUUGUUAAUCGUGGUUUGUGGAACUGAAGAGAGAGAGAGAGAGAAACGUUUGGAGUCUGCGUGAAAGGAGCAGGUGUUGUUGAUAGGAAGAUAACGAUUGGAGUCUGCGUCAUGGAUAGACAACAAGCGUUUGGCGAAUUUGAGAUCAUACAUUUUGGGGACAAAGGCCUUCAGUUCUCAACUCUGCUCCUUUAUCAAGAGUGCACAAUGACAUGGAGACACAAAUUCAUCUCAUUGAGCAAGAAGCCUAUAGCUCAAUACUCCGUGCAUUUAAAGCCCAGUCUGAUGCUAUCACUUGGGACAAGAGAGUAAAGGAACUAUAUAAUAGACUACCUACUCCGAAUGAGCUUCAUGUUUUGGGAGAGGAAGGUGUCAGAAUUGAAGUCAUUCUUGUUGAUUUUCAGAAGGAUAAGAAGCUCGCCAUGCUAAAACAGUUGAUCACCACACUUGUCAGUGGCUCAAAUCCUGCUUCGGUGAUCAAGAAAAUAGCUGGAACGGUGUCUGACUUUUACAAGCGUCCUACACUGGAGAGCCCUUCAAAGCUUGCUCUGGAGGAAAAUGCCUUCUUGUUUGAAAACCAUGGUGCUCAGUUGCUUGUCCAAAUUAAGCGUGGGUGCUGUCGAGCUCCGGCAAUUUUGUUCAAAGUUUUAGCUGAUACUGUAGGACUUGAGAGUCGGCUGGUGGUGGGUCUGCCUAAUGAUGGGACUGUAGAUUGCAUGGACUCUAACAAACACAUGUCUGUUAUAAAGAGAGCUAUUCAAGAUCCAAGGAGAGAUGCUUCCUGCUGUUACAGCCAUCACCAUCCUCUUGGCAACUUCUUUCCCUGAUUUCUUCAACUCUCUCGCAGCUUCUGCUGAAACCAUCUCUCUCCCUCUCAUGCAGGUAUACUUUAUUAGACACUAUCCAUUAUAAACCAUCAAUCAUUUCUGAAUCUUUGUAUUUGUUUGGAUUUUUUUUUAAGAACCCUUAACUAAGAGACUAGCAUUGGAGCACAAAAAUGUUGGUGUCUCUUAACUAAGUUCUUAACUAACAUUUAUUAUUAAAAAAAUCAUUAAGAGACCCUAAUGGGGUUGUAGAAUUAAUCAUGCUCUUAGGUCCAAGAUCGUUAGACAUAUAUAUAUAUAUAUCACAAACAACUUCCCUUUUAUCUUCUCCAAGCAAGCACCUUUCUUAACGUCCGAGCAAGAAAAAAAAACCAGAGAGAGAAAAAAAAUGAUUUCGUUUCUUAAAAUGUCCUUUCCAAGCCAAGGGUGAUUGUUGGAGUUGGUGUUAGUGUGGGAGUCGUUGGUACAACCUUUGCUUUCGCCCAAAACUGGUCAUAAAGAGCACAAAAAGCGGCAAAGAGGGAGAAAGCAAAUCGUGAGCAGGCUGAGAAAGUGAACAACAAAACCCUUGCCAGAGAAUGGAACAAAGACUUCAACAGGAGACAGCAAGAGAAUAAGCACGGCCCCUUUGUGGUGCCGGACAGGAAGAAAAAGAGGACCAAACCGGCGAACUGGGGUCAAAAACCCAAACCCAACGAGGAAGCUGAGCCGGUGAAGGAGGAGAAGGCUCCACAAGUGAUUCCGGUGGUGACGAAGGAGAAGGCUCCGUCAGUGGCUGAUACCGUGGUGAUGAAGUCUCCCGCCAAAGAGAACACUCCGCAAGUGAUUCCGGUGGCGACGGAGGAGGAGAAGGCUCCGCCAGUGGCUGAUCCCUUGGAGGAGUCUCCCGCCGAAGAGAACGCUCCGGUGGCGACGAUGGAAGAGAAGGUUUCGGUGGUGAAGAAGGAGGUUUGACGCUCCGGUGGCGACGAUGGAAGAGAAGGUUCCGGUGGUGAAGAAGGAGGAGGCUGAGGAAGAGGCUCCGGUGGCGACGAAAAAGAAGGAGGUGGAAGAAGAGGCUCCGGCGGUGGCGACGAAGGAGGAAGAGGCUCCGGCAGCGACUUCGACUUCGACGGUGACUUAGGCGGUGAUUCCGGCGGCGACAGACACUCCUACGAUGUGAAGAACACACAACGUACGGUCUUUUUUAUUAAAUAAUCAUUAAUAAGUGAACGAGUAGUAAAGUAAAGAUAUGUACGUACAAUAUGCCGCGUCUCAUCAGAGACUGUGUCCGGUGGUUUCAUCAUUUCCCUUUUUAACUUAUUAUCUCUCUUUCUUAAUUUAAGUGUGUUUAUUUGCAUGGUUUAUUUUAAUAUUUGGUUUAAUGUUUGAAUACUUAUGUUUAAACUUCAUAUUUGUGUGAGGAUCUUAUGACUACUUGGUUGCUUCUAAAA